GACGAACGCUGGCGGCGUGCUUAACACAUGCAAGUCGAACGGAAAGGCCCUUUCGGGGGUACUCGAGUGGCGAACGGGUGAGUAACACGUGGGUGAUCUGCCCUGCACUUUGGGAUAAGCCUGGGAAACUGGGUCUAAUACCGGAUAGGACUACGCGAUGCAUGUCGUGUGGUGGAAAGCUUUUGCGGUGUGGGAUGGGCCCGCGGCCUAUCAGCUUGUUGGUGGGGUGAUGGCCUACCAAGGCGACGACGGGUAGCCGGCCUGAGAGGGUGCCCAGCCACACUGGGACUGAGAUACGGCCCAGACUCCUACGGGAGGCAGCAGUGGGGAAUAUUGCACAAUGGGCGCAGGCCUGAUGCAGCGACGCCGCGUGAGGGAUGACGGCCUUCGGGUUGUAAACCUCUUUCAGUAGGGACGAAGCGCAAGUGACGGUACCUAUAGAAGAAGGACCGGCCAACUACGUGCCAGCCGCCGCGGUAAUAC
rnacentral:rRNA from 1 species